CCUGAGAGAGAUGGAGUCUAGCAUCUCCUCUUUCUAUCUGAACCCUGAGAGAGAUGGAGUCUAGCAUCUCCUCUUUCUGUUUGAACCCUGAGAGAGAUGGAGUCUAGCAUCUCCUCUUUCUAUCUGAACCAUGAGAGAGAUGGAGUCUAGCAUCUCCUCUUUCUGUCUGAACCCUGAGAGAGAUGGAGUCUAGCAUCUCCUCUUUCUACCUGAACCCUGAGAGAGAUGGAGUCUAGCGUUUCCUCUUUCUACCUGAACCCUGAGAGAGAUGGAGUCUAGCAUCUCCUCUUUCUAUCUGAACCCUGAGAGAGAUGGAGUCUAGCAUCUCCUCUUUCUGUCUGAACCCUGAGAGAUGGAGUCUAGCGUAUUCUCUUUAUAUCUGAUUUCAGCUUUGUGAUGAAUCUCCGUGGCCGUAGUCUGCAAUUCAAUAGUGUUGAUGAAUCUCAGUGGCCGUAGUCAAGAGUGUAUCAGGUCCAGGUGACUGUAAGAGUGUAUCAGGUCCAGGUGACUGUAAGAGUGUAUCAGGUCCAGGUGACUGUAAGAGUGUAUCAGGUCCAGGUGACUGUAAGAGUGUAUCAGGUCCAGGUGACUGUAAGAGUGUAUCAGGUCCAGGUGACUGUAAGAGUGUAUCAGGUCCAGGUGACUGUAAGAGUGGAUCAGGUCCAGGUGACUGUAAGAGUGUAUCAGGUCCAGGUGACUGUAAGAGUGUAUCAGGUCCAGGUGACUGUAAGAGUGUAUCAGGUCCAGGUGACUGUAAGAGUGUAUCAGGUCCAGGUGACUGUAAGAGUGGAUCAGGUCCAGGUGACUGUAAGAGUGUAUCAGGUCCAGGUGACUGUAAGAGUGUAUCAGGUCCAGGUGACUGUAAGAGUGGAUCGGGUCCAGGUGACUGUAAGAGUGUAUCAGGUCCAGGUGUCUGUAAGAGUGUAUCAGGUUCAGGUGUCUGUAAGAGUGGAUCAGGUCCAG